rnacentral:rRNA from 1 species
AUGGUGCUCACCCGGACGGGGCUGAAGAAGACCGGCGAACUCCACCUUGCCGUCCGCUUCACCUGCAGGUCGUGGGCCAAAAUGCUGGCCACGUACGGCAAACCGCUGCCUCCCACGAUACACAUACACCACACCGACCCAAUCACGAUGCCGCAGGUGGACCCCCUCUGGUUGCAGGCGGAUGCGGUGCAGAGGGUGGUUACGCGGCUGGCCAGGGCGGAGCCACCACUGCGGAGGGAGGUGGUGGAGUACAUGCUCGACGUAGACCCACAAAUGUUCAGCCUGCGUCGUAGCCAGUCCAACUUCCAACGCAUCGCCUCCCUCUACUCCGGCGCCACCGCCGUCGCCAAAUGGUUCGACGACAUUUGCGAGUGGAAGAACCCACUGUCGACGAUUCUGGUCCACGUGCUGUUCCUGUACCUGGUGUGCUACCCGCAGCUGAUCCUGCCGAUGGUGCUCGUGCUCGUGGUCAUGAUCGGGGUGUGGAACUACCCGCGGCGGCCGCGGAAUCCGCCGCAUAUAGACACGGUGCUGUCGUACGCAGAUCAGGCGCAACCCGACGAGCUGGAAGAGGAGUUCGACACGUUCUCGACGUCCACGCCGGAUGACAUCGUGAAGCUGAGAUACGACCGGCUGCGGAGCGUCGCCGGCAGGUUGCAAAGGGAGCUCGGCGACCUGGCUAUGCACGCGGAGCGCGCGCAGUCGCUGCUUAGCUGGAGAGACCACAGGGUAACGCCCAUCUUCAUCAUGCUCUCCCUGGUGGUCGCCGUCGUGCUGUACUGGACGCCGUUGAAGGUGGUGGUCAUGGUGAUGGGGCUGUAUUUCCUCCUACCCUCGCGGUUCCGGCCCAGCAGGAGGAGGACCAGCAUGGUCUUCAACUUGUACAGUCGUCUGCCCUCCAAGGAUGACUCGAUGCAUGACUUUGAUUACGUUAUCACCAGGCGCUUUAGUGCUUAUUUUGAUGAAGAGCAAUGCUACACGUACGAAAGCUAA